UACGAAGGGGGGCUAGCGUUGCUCGGAAUCACUGGGCGUAAAGCGCACGUAGGCGGAUCUUUAAGUCAGGGGUGAAAUCCCAAGGCUCAACCUUGGAACUGCCUUUGAUACUGGGGAUCUCGAGUCCGGAAGAGGUUGGUGGAACUCCGAGUGUAGAGGUGAAAUUCGUAGAUAUUCGGAAGAACACCAGUGGCGAAGGCGGCCAACUGG
rnacentral:rRNA from 1 species